rnacentral:rRNA from 1 species
AACCGGAUUAGAUACCCUGGUAGUCCAUGCCGUAAACGAUGAGUGCUAAGUGUUGGAGGGUUUCCGCCCUUCAGUGCUGCAGCUAACGCAUUAAGCACUCCGCCUGGGGAGUACGACCGCAAGGUUGAAACUCAAAGGAAUUGACGGGGGCCCGCACAAGCGGUGGAGCAUGUGGUUUAAUUCGAUGCUACGCGAAGAACCUUACCAGGUCUUGACAUCUUCUGCCAACCUAAGAGAUUGGGCGUUCCCUUCGGGGACAGAAUGACAGGUGGUGCAUGGUUGUCGUCAGCUCGUGUCGUGAGAUGUUGGGUUAAGUCCCGCAACGAGCGCAACCCUUAUUGUUAGUUGCCAGCAUUUAGUUGGGCACUCUAGCAAGACUGCCGGUGACAAACCGGAGGAAGGUGGGGAUGACGUCAAAUCAUCAUGCCCCUUAUGACCUGGGCUACACACGUGCUACAAUGGACGGUACAACGAGUCGCGAAACCGCGAGGUCAAGCUAAUCUCUUAAAGCCGUUCUCAGUUCGGAUUGUAGGCUGCAACUCGCCUACAUGAAGUUGGAAUCGCUAGUAAUCGUGGAUCAGCAUGCCACGGUGAAUACGUUCCCGGGCCUUGUACACACCGCCCGUCACACCAUGAGAGUUUGUAACACCCAAAGCCGGUGAGGUAACCUUCGGGAACCAACCGUCUAAGGUGGGGACAGAUGAUUAGGGUGAAGUCGUAACAAGGUAACC